CCCCCCCACCACCACCACAGUAGGCUGUCCAAAUCAGCGGUGAUUGACGAGAUCCCUUCUCCGGACUUGUCGUGGUCUUGGUAUGCAUAUUUGUUCUACACAUUAUGGGCGUCACACCUCCUUUUUAACAUUACAACACCGACAAAGGGUGUAGGUAAGGGAGUUUUUCCAAUUAAAGGACAGUCGAAACGAGAUUAUUUAUUUAUUAAAAUUCAUAUUCGCCACUUGGAUAGUUAAUGGUGUCCCAAGUCACCGGUUUACAUCCCGAAUGGAGGAAGGGGUUGACUCUGUAAUACACUCUACGAGCCAGAAAUCCGCGUAAGGAAUUCUGUUAACCCGGGAAAAAGUGUUAGACACUCCCAAG
rnacentral:lncRNA from 1 species